rnacentral:rRNA from 1 species
UACAUGGGGUGCAAACGUUGCUCGGAAUUAUUGGGCGUAAAGCGCACGUAGGCGGUUCGUUAAGUCGGAUGUGAAAGCCCUCGGCUCAACUGAGGAAGUGCACCCGAAACUGGCGAGCUUGAGUACGAAAAGAGGAUCGCGGAAUUCCCGGUGUAGCGGUGAAAUGCGCAGAUAUCAGGAGGAACACCGGUGGCGAAGGCGGGUCUCUGGGCCGAUACUGACGCUGAGGAGCGAAAGCAUGGGUAGCGAACAGG